AGUUUCCAACAGCUGCAGAAAUUACAAUUUUGGAGUGCAGAAAUUACACCUACUCUCCAAAAUUGUUUAACAGAAAACAGGAUAAUGUAGCCCCCAGAAUUGAGUGCAGCUUAGUGGAAAGGGACUUAACAGAGCUAGGAGGCGGGCUUAGGUGGAAAGUGGUUUUUAAUUGGAGCAAUUUAGCUAGUUGGCUGAAACAGUAUAAAUAGGUAGCCAUUUUGGAUCCUCUCGUUUUAAUUUACUCACAGGGCCAAAUCUGUCCCUCUCGCCCUCCCUAAGAGGUUUGGGGGUUUGCAAGGGUUAUUCCCCCCUAUGUCACAGCAGCGGAGUUAGUGAGCUAAAGUUUAGGAGGAAAACAGGCCCUUGGUUAAGUACAGGGUAGUUAUUAUGUUGGGUAAGAAGGGAUUGAUAUUGUUCAUGUUUAAGUUUGGUAGGUUUCAAGCUCGUCAGUAGCUCAGAACCUGG